AGAGUUUGAUCCUGGCUCAGAAUCAACGCUGGCGGCGCGCUUAACACAUGCAAGUCGAACGAGAAAGCGGGGGCAACCUCGUGAGUAAAGUGGCGUACGGGUGAGUAACACGUGGGUAAUCUACCUCUUGGUGUGGAAUAACGCUGGGAAACCGGCGCUAAUACCGCAUAAGCUCGGGAGAGGAAAGCAGCAAUGCGCCGAGAGAGGAACCCGCGGCCGAUUAGCUAGUUGGUGAGGUAACGGCCCACCAAGGCAAAGAUCGGUAGCCGGCCUGAGAGGGCACACGGCCACACUGGCACUGAAACACGGGCCAGACUCCUACGGGAGGCAGCAGUGGGGAAUCUUGCACAAUGGGGGCAACCCUGAUGCAGCGACGCCGCGUGAGCGAUGAAGCCCUUCGGGGUGUAAAGCUCUU
rnacentral:rRNA from 1 species